rnacentral:rRNA from 2 species
GAGUUUGAUCUUGGCUCAGAUUGAACGCUGGCGGCAUGCCUUACACAUGCAAGUCGAACGGCAGCACGGGAGCUUGCUCCUGGUGGCGAGUGGCGAACGGGUGAGUAAUGCAUCGGAACGUAUCCUGGAGUGGGGGAUAACGUAGCGAAAGUUACGCUAAUACCGCAUAUUCUGUGAGCAGGAAAGCGGGGGACCUUCGGGCCUCGCGCUCUUGGAGCGGCCGAUGUCGGAUUAGCUAGUUGGUGAGGUAAAGGCUCACCAAGGCGACGAUCCGUAGCAGGUCUGAGAGGAUGAUCUGCCACACUGGAACUGAGACACGGU